GCUCGCUUGGUGUGGGAGGAUUUUACCCCUUGUGUGCCGGAGCUAACGCGUUAAUCGAGCCGCCUGGGAAGUACGGGCGCAAGACUAAAACUUAAAGGAAUUGACGGGGGCCCGCACAAGCGGUGGAGCAUGUGGUUUAAUUCGAUGAUACCCGAGGAACCUUACCAGGGCUUAAAUGUAAGUUGCAUUAUCUAGAGAUAGCUAUUUCUUCGGACCACUUACAAGGUGCUGCAUGGUUGUCGUCAACUCGUGCCGUGAGGUGUCAGGUUAAGUCCUAUAGCGAGCGCAACCCCUGUUGUUAGUUGCCAUCGAGUCAUGUCGGGAACUCUAACAAGACUGCCAGUGCAAACUGUGAGGAAGGUGGGGAUGACGUCAAAUCAUCACGGCCCUUACGUCCUGGGCUACACACUUGCUACAAUGGUAGGUACAGAGAGCACCCACUGCUCGAGCAGGACCGAAUAUAUAAAACCUAUCACAGUUCGGAUCGGAGUCUGCAACUCGGCUCCGGGAAGCUGGAAUUGCUAGUAAUCGGAUAUCAGCCCUGAUCCGGUGAAUACGUUCCCGGGCCUUGUACACACCGUCCGUCUAGCCAUGGAAGUUGGAAGUGCCUG
rnacentral:rRNA from 1 species